GGAGGGAGAAAUGUCACCCGGAGUCCCGGCCCGCGGGGGAGAGGUGGCGCGUUAGAGAUGUGUGUGGGGGAGAGAGAGAGAGGGGGAGCGAGACCUCCGCCGGCCCCGCGGACUUGUCAAGUUGAGAACAGCAAGCUUUUGGGCUCAAAAAGCUUAGACCAUCAUGGCUACGAAAACUGCUGCUACUCAGAAAAUAUGUAAUUCUGGAGCUCCUUAGUGAAAAAGUAGUGCAAAGAAACAUCAGAGCAGUUGCCAAGUGAUCUUCUCCACAGCACCCAUGAGCUUCAGCCUUGAACUGAAGAGGACUCAUCAAAUGCCUUAGGAGAGACAGCAUGGAAUUGCAAGAGAAGCAGGCAUCUCCAUGAAGGGCAGUCAACUACAGUCUUGGUGUGUGGAGGAACAGGUCCUGGUCUCGCUGUUGUUACUCCCACAUAGGCGGACUCUGUAACUGAUUAUGUGUGGGUAGGGCCCUAUUGAAAUUAAGGAGAUUCUGCAGUAGUGCAGGGUUCUUUUUGUGAAAGUUCAGUUGCAAGAUCAGGACCCUACUGUGACUCCUUACUGUGAAUUCUGUCAGUGUAUCAUUGAUUGUGCUGGAACCUGCCUUUUGGGAUAAUGUAAGUCCUGCUUUUCCCCCACAUGUACUUUAGACAUGAAAUAAUCAUAAAACAUUUCUAAUUAGAAAAUUAAUAUAAUUUACAUGCAUUCUUUUAAUUAUGUUUUUUUGGCAGUACCAAAUAAUAUAUUCCUCAAAACUUCUUAAUGGCACUGAGGCUUUGUGGAUAGUUGCUCACAUGAUGAGAAAAUUCAGCUAUCCUGCAGUUCACAUGGCUGGCAGACACAGAAAUAAUUUCCCAAAUGAAAAUGGAAGAUGCAAAACCCAUGAAGAUUGCGUUGAAGAGUAAUACUGAACAAAAGGAAGUCUGAGACCACUGAAUACAAAUCAGAUCAUUUAUUUGAAAAGAUAGUUGAAGAGACAACGAACAAAAAUGAUCAUCAAUAAGGAUAAAGAAUUUUACCUGUUCAUGCAAGCAGUACUCUUACUCUGCUUACACUACUUGAUCGUCUGGCAGGAAGCUGGUUUCAGCAUCGUCAAUACCCUUUUUCCUUGACUUCUAAUUCUAUCUAGCACAUGCUCUUCAGGUCUGCUUUACCUGUAGUGCUGAGCUGUUGCAAUAGCUUGUUUUUUUAUGACUUGCAUCAAGUGUGAAGCUUUCAAAGUCAUGUGUUAAAGUGUGAUACGGAUUUAUUGACUUUGCGGUGGACACUCAAGCCAGUGAAACCAGUGGGCGUGCAGGCAGUUGCAGCAGCCCGGAGAUCUCGGUUUUCUCCCCCUCUCCUAAAUGCUGCUGUUAAAACGCUGGCGGUGUGGUGACUCGUCUCCAGCUGCUGCUGCUGUCAUUCUUCCCCAUAAAGAAACAAAAGGGUGUUGGGGAAAACAUCUGAAGGAGAAGAAUAUGUCCUCAGGAUUAUAAUUUCUUCAUGAUAAUAGAUAAUUGGAAUUUCAGUCCUAUCUUCCAGUGAGCUGGCAGCCUCUAUUAGCAUGGGAUUAUCUGCAGUAAUGGGUGAGCGUGGUAUCUUGAGACCCUGGUGUUUGAGCCAAGUGACAUUCAGAUGCUAUUUGUAGCAAAAGAAAAAGAAAAGAGUUGGAUCCCUGGAACACACCAAAAGAAAAAUAAACUAUGAAAAUAUGACUUUUUUUCAGAUAUGUGAUGAAAGUGCACUGAAAAUGUCCUGCACAGGGGCAGGGGAAAUGCAACAUGCAGCCAGAGGUCUGAAACCUACAGUCAUUCACUUGGUCAUCCUCAGCAGGGCAUGACAAGAUGAAAAAAUGUUAGGGAAUUGAUAUACAUUAGUAUAAUUUAUAUUUAGAGGUGUACAGUGUACACCAUGUCACAUCACACUUUGUAGUCAGAAGAGAGGAGUAGGUACUUUGAGUAUACAAUUCACCUAAUCUGUUUUAGAGAGGAGUCGCACCCAGAAAUGCCCACUUAUGUAGAGCAUGGUCUGACAGGUCAGAAGUAGACAUCUGUAUUUUAGAUGUCUGAUGUUAAGUUAUGCAAUUUUUGCUUUUUGUGUCAGGAGCAUAACGAGUCACUUCUGGUCUCUAUUCGUGGAGGCAAAAUCUCCAUAUUGGGAAUGUCCCAUUGAUCUGGAUUUUAGGAAAGCUUGAUUAUCGGCAGGGCACUAUUUAAAUGUACAGUAUCCAAAUGCUUCCUGUUAUAAGCCCAUAUAUAAUAAUGAGCUUUUUAUCUGCUGGACAUAUGACUUCUCUUAUAACUGCCAUCAUUCCUCUUGUUGCCUAGCUAAGAAUUGCAGGUUUAGAUAGAGCCUCUCUGAGUCCUGAGAAAAUCUUAAGAGGAAGGAAGGCUUUAUGGCUCACAUUGGGGAGUUCCUAUUAAGAAAUUGCCACUGUCAGAGUUCUUGUCAUCAAAAAGCCCUAUCUGUGAGACAUAGAAGUUAAUCUCAAUAGAUUUCUAAUGCAGAUUUACUAAGUAGUGUUAAGCGCCUGUGCAGAUACUUAUUCAGAGUUUAAAUCCAACUUCACUUGGUUGUUCCAGAUUAAUUUUCUCAAAGCACCUUGUUUAGACAAAUCCUGAACAUGUCUUUGACCUGAUAACAGAGCUAAACCAUCUGUGCUAGAAUAUCUGUGGAUCCGGAUGGUGAGUGUCACUGAUGGAGUUCCAGAAGACAGUGCCUGACCCAGAGCCACUGGCUUCUAUGUUGCUACUGGAGGGGUUAUAGAAGCCAAAAACGGCAGGGGGAUUUUACUGUAAUCUGAUAGAUCUGAUGACCUUGUUAAUUUAUAAGGUCACGAAUAUUAAAGUCUGCUGGCAUGUGUGACUACUCUUUUAGGCUUGGUAAAUAAAGCCGAGUAUGCUGAACAACAAUUUUCAAGGGGGUUUUCCCAAGGCACAGGGAAGAGCCAUUGUAUGUAUCCAACUAUAGCAGUAUGCAGAGCAUGAGACACACCAUUUACACUAGACUUUCCCCCCAGAGUUCUAUGAUGCAGAUAAGACUGUCCUGGAGCUGAAUUGGGAAAUUCAAGUGAGUACUAAAACUUGGUGAAAACUCGUAAGAAAUAGAUAACAGUAACGACAAUUAAUUGCAGAAAGGAACAGGCAUAGACAGGUGAAGCCCACACAGAUGUAAAACAACACUUGGGUGUAAAAUGUUAAUUGCCGCGUUUAUGUUUCUCUUCCUCCCAAGCAUUGCUUUGCUGGAAUGCUCCUUAGUAUUGCCAUAAGACCCCAUGGAAGUGAUCUGCACAUGCUUGGGCCAUCUAGAACAAAUUACAAGGUAUUUUUUUGACCCUGGACACAAAGUAAUUGAAAUAUAAUGUCAGAAAAUUGCCUUAAUUCAGAGCAAAUGAUUGGCAUAAUUUCUGAACCACAUUAGAAGAUUAUGAAGUUGCCGUUUUCAUGGUAAUCCCCCAAUCCAUCUGUUUUGAAAAGGUUGAAGAAUGAGAUCAUACUUCUCGGUCUGUGUUAACACUAUUCUGCAGGGAAUUCACUGAAGAAAAAGCGAUCUUUACAUAUGACAGAGAUGAUACCGCUGCAUGCUUUCAAGUUUUCUUUGGUACCUUUGUUUCUGGGAAUUUACAGGCAAUUUAAAAAGAUACAAAAAUACUGCAUGAAAUUGCAUGCACAGUUUUGUAUCACUCUUUGCUAUGUAAUAUGCAUAUAUUUACUAUACUAAGUAAUUAAUGUGGCUGUAAAUGCAAGACUGCUUUUUAUACAUUAAAAUGAUGACAUUCCUCAGUUGGUAUUUACAGAUUCACUAAAAAUGUAGUUAUGCACUUUUUUUAAUUUGCAAGUGGUCCCCUCCCCCCUCCUCUGAUAAAUAACACAGGAGCACUAGCGACAACCGACAUGGAGAAGGCUGAGCUACUCAGCAAUUUUUUUUCCUCAGUUUUCAAUGGUAAUCUCUCUUCCUACAUCUCUUAAGCCCGUGAACUUCAAAGCAGGGACUGGAGGGAUGAAGUCCCUUCCAUUGUAAGUGAAGAUCAGGUUCAAGACCGCCUGAGGAACCUGACCAUAUAUAAGUCAAUGGGAUCCGAAGAGCUGCACACCAGGGUCCUGAGGGCUGAUGUUGCCAAGCCACUCUCCAUCAUCUUAGAAAAAUCGUGGCAGUUAGGCAAAGUCCCCUGUGACUGGAAAAAAGGAAAUUCCAUGUCCAUUUUUCAAGAGGGUAAAAAAGAGGAUGCUGGUAACUACUGACAAGUCAGGCUCAGCUCUGUGCUCAGUAAGAUCAUGGAGCGGAUCCUCCUGGAGGAUAUAUUAAAACACAUGGAAGACAGGGAGGUGAUGAGAGAGAUCCAGCAUGGCUUCACCAAGGGCAAAUCGUGCCUGACUAAUUCAGUGGCCUUGUGCCAUGGAGUGGUUGCAUCAGUGGACAAGGGAAGAGCUACGGCUGUCAUCUACCUGGACUUCUGUAAGUCCUGUGAUAUGAUUCCCCACAACAUUCUUACCUCUAAAUUGGAGAGAUACAGGUGUGAUGGAUGGACUGUUAGAGGGAUAAGGAGUGGACUGGAUGGCCAUGUCUGAAGAGUUGGAGUCAAUGGCUCAAUGUCCAAGCAGAAACCAGUAAUGAGUAGUGUCUCUCAAGCAGUCUGUACUGGGACCAAUAUUAUUUAAUAUCUUAAUCAAUGACAUAGACUGUGGGUUGAGUGCACCCUCAGAAAGUUUGUAGAUGACACCAAGCUGAGCAGUGCAACUGAUUCACUAGAGGAAAAGGAUGCCAUCCAUAGGGACCUUGACAGACUUGAGGAGUGGGCCCCUGCACACCUCUUGAGGUUCAACAAGGCCAAGCGCAAGGUCCUGCACAUGGGUUGGGACAAUCCCCAGUAUCAAUACAGGCUGGGGGAUGAAGGGAUUGAGAGCAGCCCUGCGAAGAAGGACUUUGGGAUAUUGGUGGAUGAAAAAUUGGACACAAGAUGACAAUGUGCGCCUGCAGUCCAGAAAGCCAACUGUAUCCUGGCCUGCAUCAAAAGAAGCGUGGCCAGCAGGUCAAGGGAGUUGAUUCUGCCCCUCUACUCCGCUCUCAUGAGACCCCACCUGAAGCACUGUACCCAGCUCUGGGGUCCUCAGCACAGGAGAGACAUGGACCUGUUGGAGUGGGUCCAGAGGAGGGCCACAAAAAUGAUCCGAGGGCUGGAGCACCUCUCCUAUGGGGACAGGCUGAGAGAGUUGGGGUUGUUCAUCCUGGAGAAGAAAAGGCUCCAGAGAGACCUUAUUGCAGCCUUUCAAUAUACAAAGGGGGCCUGUAAAAGGCAGAGAGACUUUUCACUUAGGCCUAUAGUGACAGGACAAGAGGUGACAAUUUUAAACUGAAAGAGGAUGUGUUUAGAUUGGACAUAAGGAAGAAACUUUUUAUGAUGAGGAUGUGAGGCAGUAGAACAGGUUGCCCAGAGAUUGUGGAUGCUUCAUCCCUGGAAGUGUUCAAGGUCAGGUUGGAUGGAGCUAUGAGCAACCUGGUCUAGUGAAAGGUGUCCCUGCCCAUGGCAGGGAGGUUGGAUUAGAUGAUCUUUAAAGGUCCCUUCCAACCCAAACUUUUCUGUGAUUCUAUGAUCUAUUUUUAAAAUGUAUCUAUUUAAAAGAGAAUGUUUUUGUCUUAAAAAUAGGUCAAUAUUACUGGGUGGUGUUAUUUAAAAGAAUGAGGUAAGUCAGUGUAUCCUAAUUCUGGAUAUGGCACACUCUUGUAGUCAAAGGCAAGUUUUAUUUUUGCAGAUCUUUCUAUCAGUGAGGUCAUCCACUCCUUCCCACUGAUCAGAGCAGAAUUAAAUAUACCUGUGUUCUCCUUAAAGGAUACUUGACUAACCUGAUUUCCAAAACCUCCACGAAUGGAGAUUUCAGAAUCUCUCAAGAUGGUUCACUCCACUGUUCAAUCAUUUUAGAAAACUGCCCUCCACCAUUCUUCUAGCUUUACUUUUAUUUUCCAUCUUUCCUGACAUGCAGUGCCCAAAAGUGCAUGCGAUGUAACCUGUGCCAAAUAGAAUGGAAAGAUUCCUUUGUGUGCCUUGUCAGGUGUACAUUCCCUCAUAUUACGACUGCUUUUUUUCAUAACAAAAUGACACUGUUGGUUAAUCUGCAGUUUAUUCAGCUAUAAUCCUAGGGUAUUUUUCUCAGAGCUGCUCCUUAGCCUAUCAUCCCCCAUGCUUCAUGUGCUGCCUAAGUGUAGAGCUUUAUUCUCAUCUCAGUAGAAUUGCCUCCUAUUCUUUUCAGACCAUUUCUCCAUUUUGUUAAUAUCAUUUAGUUCACUGCUAAGCUAGUCUGGAAUAUUCACCUAUCUACCAGUGAAAGUUUUGAGGCCUGGGAGAGAUUUUAGAUGCUUACCUUUGGGGUAGGUGUCGACAUGUGAGUUGGGUGUCUAAAUGCUCUUUGUAGUUGAACUAGUCAGUACAAUCAGUGGUGCUUAGAGACAAUUCAUCUCACUGUUACGCAGAUAUCUACAUUUGGUCAGCUGACAUUCGUUGUACCCUUCAUCAUUAACUAAUGUUAAUUCAGUGUAAACAUAUCAAGGGAGGUCUGUAGGCCUACUCUAGCUUGGAAGACAAUAUGAAAUAAUAUAAUAAAGCUCUCCAGGAAAGACAUUAUAGCAAUUUUAUAGCUUGUACAGUAGGAACUGGAAGUAGGAGCCCCAAUUACGCCUUCCUUUCUCAUCUUUUUGUUCACAUGGAACAGCUCUGCCUCUCACCUGCCUACUCCUAGUUUUUAAUUAUGAAAAUAUUAUGGAGGAAACUUGUUACAAAGCAAGAUGAAAAGCUUAUUUUUCUCUGAAUCUGUUAAAUCACAGAGCAUAUACUUUCUCUGCACAGGACUCCAUCCAAGGGUGAAAAGCAGCCCCAAACUCUGCAAAUCCCUGCCUUUUGGCUCCUUGGCAGAGAAGUGCAUCAGUCCUAGUGUUUGCUUGGAUAGUUAGGGAUAAUUUGUUACUACCGUACUUCACAGUUGCUUUUUUUUUUUUUUUUUAACAGUAGGUGUUUCUCUGUGUUUGUUGGCAAAUAAAUAAAAUAGUAGUUAAUAUGUGUGCCAUUUCUUUUAAUAGUCAGCUUUAUGAAAUUCCCAGGCUUUAAGCCAUAUGUGAAAGAACUAUGACAUGGUGGCCAUAAUCUAUGUUCGGCUCUUGAGAAAUAGGCCACACUCCUUGCAGCUGUGCAGUUUGCCAUUCAUUGUGAAUGCCCAGAGAAGACUUGGGUGUCAAAACUGUUAGUCUUUGUAAUGUGGAAGACCAUGAUGAUAGUAUCACCUCCUAGGUGCUUCUGCACCAUAAGGCACCGAUGUUUUCUUCUUCUGAAAUGCAGAUGUCUAGGGUGGGAUUCUUCUAAUCUAAAUGUAGAGGUCUGCAAUAUGGAGGUUUGUAUCUAACCAUGUCAUCUUAGGUAACAUUUAUGGUUAAUGGAGGGGAAUAUGUAAUUCUGGGGAAUUAUUCAUCUGACCUGUUUUUGGCAUUUCCUUUAUGAUGAGAAGAACCACAUGCGAGAAUUAUCUGUUCCUCUCCUCUAGUGUCCUGUUAAUGAGGGGGCUGAGGCCACCCACUGUCACCAGCUGCAUGCAAGACCAGUGUUUCCAGAAGACCAGUACUGUAGCAGCAGACUGCUGUCACAGAGGCCUACAGAGAAAGGGAGGACAGCCCUUAGCUAGCUUUUCAGUCCUCCUCAUUGAUACCAAGCAAGAAAAGGGCACAAAAGACUGAGGCUGAGUGAGCCAGUGCAUUGCAUCUGGCACUGCAACAGGCAGUGGAAGUUCAACUCUCAGAAGCAAAAGCAAAACUCAUUUUAGUUCUUAGAUCUUUGGUAUCUUCCCAGUCACUGAUAAAACUGUAAUCUUUAAGGAAUGUCCCAAUAUUUUUGUCUGAUACUAUAUAUCCUCCUUCUGCCCCUGAUUGCUGUUGAUGUUCUCAGAUGAUAUUGAAGUGCAAAAAACCACAUUUCUAGGGAGGAAGUCCUCUCCUCGGCUUUCCAUUUGGCUACAGGAAGUAUUUUUCAUCACAGGUUGCAGUGAGGAGCUACAAUCCAGACAAUCCUUCUGGUGUCUUUGUUGUCAGGAAAAAUGAUCUAUCAAAGCCCAUUUAGAGGAAACUUCAGCCAGACACUUAUGAGUGCUGAUCCUUUGUUGUUUUCUCAUUAUGUGGUUCCUAGGUUUCUAAAGGUCUUGACAUACAUUCUCUACCAAUAAGAAAAAAACCCUCCUCAUGAGAUUUAAGCAUGUUGCUUUUAUCUUUAAUGGAGCCAUGUUUGAGCGUCUGUCAUCAUGUUCACUAAAUCAUCUGUCAAUGAAAUCCACAUUUUUAGUAGCCAUUACCUCAGCUCAGGGAUAAAUAAAGUUCUAUCUUUUAUGUCUAAUCCUCCAUAUUAUUUUCAGGUGGAUAGGAUAACACUGAGGCCACAUCUUAAAUUUAUUCUAAGGGUGGUUUCAGAUUUCUUAUUUAUCAGUAUAUCCACUUACCAAUAUUUUUUCCCAUGACCCAGUUCACUUGUAGAAGGAUCAAAAUGUUGAUCCUUCUUGAACGUAAUGCCUUAGCCAGACAAAGCUCUUCUGUAGAUCUGUGAUGCUUAUUGGUCUCAAACAGCCUUUGUAGUUCAGGAUCAAAUCUAAGAAGAUACGAAAUGAGUUAUCAGACUUUAUCAGAGCCACAUUUGAUGUUAUCAGGUUAGAUCCAACCAACCUAUCUCAAGGCAUAUACAACUAGAGCACAAGGUACUGCCACAGCCUGUGCUGGCAGAGUGCCAGUAGCUGAGAGCUGUAGAGACACCACACGAUCGCUGAUACAAAGCAGUACUCGGGCUGGUGGAACAAAGGCUUGAAGGACACUGAUUCUUCAGUCUUUGUUCCAAUGAAUAGCUCGCAUUUACUGGUGUGACUGACUGCACUCCUUAGGAAACAUCCAGAGUUUCACAGGUGCCAGAACUUGAAGAAAGAAGAGUGUUUGCCUUUGUUACUGUAAUUCUUCCACGUGUUCUUCGUAGCUACCACAACCGGCCCUGCUGUUCCCCGAGUCGAAGGCUUGUCGUGUGGACUGAGAGCUGCUGAAGAACUGGAUGGUGAUCUGUUUGCAUGCUUGUGGGAGGAAAAGCAAAGAUGCAUAAGGAAAGUACAAUGUGGUUUGUCCUUGAAUUAAACAAUUUAGUGUUCGGACCUAAUCCGGAAUCACGUCGCUACUUUAGGUGGUGUUUUGUCUCUCAAAAGCUCAUGGACUGCUAAUUUUCGGUGUGGCUCAUGGAGGUGACAAGGGGAACUGUUGUGGUUCUGGAUCUGUAUCGUGUUUGGGGGUCGAAGUCCUGUAUAGCACUAACCAUUCUUGAAGGAAGGAGUGGUGUACACCUCCUCUGCUGCCCCGCGGUCCAGGCAUGGAGACUGUCUGCCCAGGAAUGAGCAUGAUGGGAGAACUGAAGGAAAAGAGAUGUGAAGUUAUCUGCUGAAAGCCGUAAAGGGAGCCAGUGAUAAAUCCAGGAUGAAAAGCCAAGCCUGUGUGGUGUUUAGUUGCUGACUGGGGCUAAACCACGACACCAGCCCAAUGCAGUCUAAUACUGUAAUCAACAAGAAAGUUUGCUUUCUGAUGUUGCAAUGAGGUGUGCCAUAGCAAUACCUAUAAACUAAUAAUUUACCCAAGGGGAACAUAUUUGAAAGUGUAUAUUUGCCUAUGCUCUUGUAAAUAAUUCAAAAGAAUUCCCUGAAUUCUAAUUCUGAAUUGAAUUUAUAAUACUGUUUUCUUCAAAACUGGGCAUUUUUUCACAAAUAUUUCUUCGUAAGUCAUGUUUAAAACAUACAGUUCUCAAAAUCUGAUUUAUUAAAAUUACCACAAGUUAAUGUCCAAAAAAAUCCCAGAGUAGCUUCAAUAAUUCAUAUUUCUAGAUAUUUUAGAGUCCAGCUUCAGGGUUUUCUUCAGGCUCCUGAGCACCUACACUUUAGCUUGCCUUUAUAGAAGACAGUGGAUAGUUGGCAUCUCAGAAAAAGGGAGUUGUGUAUUCCCAAUGAGGGUGUUCUUAGCAUUGGAAAUCACUUUUGGAAAUAUUGCUGCAAAUGUCUUGGAAGCAUCAAAAGCUCAAGUCUGGCUCCAGUUUAGCUGGAGGAGAGGCUGCUCCAAUAGACCCAGGCAGCAGAGGUGCUGUGAAUAUGGAAGCCCGUUACAGAGCCUAAUGCUGGCUGGUGUAUUGAGGAGUGUUUGUCACAGUUUUGGCAAAGGUACAACUUGCUUUCCGUCUCUCCAAGCUAUGUCCUCCUAUAGGAGUCAGGAACAUGUGCACAAUGCUUCUCUUUGAGAUGCUAAUCUUUUAGGGUGUUAAGCACCAACAGUUGCAUUAGCAGCUGGUUUUACUCGCACUCAAGGGUUUGAAGCAGCACAGCAGCUUUUUGCGCAGGAUAGGGAGGGUUUCCUUCUGGUUUUCACCUCAAUCUGACAUAUUAAUGCUGUGCGCUUCCCAAAAUAGUGCUAGUGUCCAACACUGAAACACCAUUGAAGCAUUGUCUUAGUAGUAGGUAGCUUGGUGAUUUAUUAAAAGCAAAUUGGAAAACUAUAUUACUUCUACAACACCCUCCUUAUAGCACCUUCACAGUUACCAAAUCUUUAUUUUCAGUAGUUUGCUUGGGCACGGGUGAUGAGCAUGCUCAGAGAAUAUGUCAAGUUAGCUACGAUCAAAGCUAUAAAGUAUCUGCAAUUCAUCCAUGCUUCUCCCACCAGCAGGUGUCAUUCUGGAAAAAGGAAAAUAUUGUAAAUUCCUGAACUGGAGAAUUUGGCUGUGACAAAGAAAGAAAAAAAAGUUUGCUUAAAAUAUAGCUUUUGAAGGAUACUUUACUCCAAAUAAACCAAGAGAAAGUUGGCUGGUCUGCAUUUUUUAAUAAUCUCUGCGCAGCGUGUAAUCCUGACAUAUAACCAACAAAGGAGAGACGAUUGUGGCUGAGCUGAACCUGUGCGUGAGUUGGGAGCUGCUGUUGCUGAGGGUAUGCACCACGAAAGGUCCUGGCCAGAAAUCUGGGGCUUCUCAUCAGGAAUGUAGCGGUCUGAUGUUCAAAACUGUUGGGAGUGUGGCAAAAGAUGAACCCCCAAGGCAUGGCUGCAAUAGUUGUUUGAAACAAGAAACAGGUACCCUUUUCAUGUCAUUCAUUUCACUGAUCACAGGGAAUCUGAGCCUGAAAGAAGGUGGAGGAGGACUCCUAGAGAGAACUUGCAACGGUUUGUCCCUUAAGAAGGGUAUAAUGCCAUUUUUAAUAUUUUUACCAAAUACCAGAGCAUGUAAUAAAAGUUUAUGGAUUGGGAAUUAAUUGAAAGAUUGUGAAAUGGGAAAGAAUGUGCGUUACAGGAAGCCUUGGAGAGCUACAACCUAAGCACCCUGAAACUGCGACCAAGCCCACAGAAUCUCUCUUGAGUUAUCGGAACCAUCUCAGAUGUAAUUUUUUUAUACACUUUACCAGCCCCAGUAAGCUCCCCCAGCCAGAUUGGGAAAAGACAUGCCUUUUAUUGAUGUUAGUCCAGGGGACUAAAGUGAAUUUUGUGUAGUCAAAUGUUUCAUUUAUGGAAUUAGCUACAGAAUUCAGGUUUUAAAAAUAAGCAGCAUGAAUUUGUAACUGGGAGAUGGUACAUGUUUUUAAAAAUGCUUUUCAAAAGAUGAUGUGCUUAUAUUUAAAGUCUGUUAUCUGCAACAUAAAGGUUUACAGUUUUAUAUGGAUUAAAUAACACAUCUAUAUGAUGAAA